CAGCAGAGCGCUUUCCUGAGGGCUGGUGUUGGCAGGUGACUGGGAAAGGGUGGGAAGAAAGCUGCGUAUGGAUGAGUCAACCAGAGGCUGACUGACAUCAGCUCAAACAAGCUAAUGUCCCUAUUGGCUACUGAGGGAAUAUUAUGAGACUUCAUGGCUCGUUCACAACUUCUACAGGAUAAAUCUACACUGAGUUGUAGCUGACUUUCCUCCAGAAAUCAGUGAAACCUGGAUCUCUGCUCCUGACUGAAGACUUGUUGGGAUGAUGGUCUUCAGCUGCUUGGAAGCUGCAGGUGAACUCUUCUGCACUGUCCAGGAGCAGGAAAUGAGAUUGCACUGGCUGGAACACAGAGCACCAGGCUGGUCCCAGGAGGUGCACCAGGCCCACAGCCUCCCCCAGGCAGUGAAACAGCCAGGCUUGGGUGACAUCUGAGGGAUGUGGAGUCCCAGAGAGACCACCUGGGAAUUCUGACAGCAUUACAUCAAGCAGGAGAUCUGAACCUGGGAUGGAGCUGUGUAAGUAAGCAAAGGGUCAUUGAGGAUACUCACCCUGACUGGAAGGGGUACUUUAGCUUCUCUUCUGCACUGAACGUCAAAACAUUUGCUGUGCCUAAAAUCGUGGAAACUAAGAAUGGGGUUGGAAUCAAGGCCUCACAACAUGUCUGUGACUUUUUGCAAGAGCUUUUAGCUUCAAACCACCAACAACUCCCCUGCCAUGCACCACUAAGGCACAGCUCCUUUGGAAUGUGGAGGUGGUUUUGUUUGCAUCUCCGUUGAUGAGUCAGAGGAAGCUGGGGACAAGAAAAGAGCUGAAUACAUCAGUGUUCCCAUUCACUUGGCUGAAGAGAAAGCAGAGGAAGAGCUUUGCCUCACAGCUUGACUCUUGGUUCCCAGGACAGUCCCAGGGACACUUAUCUAUGUGGAGUCCAUGGAUCAUUGCUGGUCUUGGGGCUUUCGUCCCAGAAGAGCCCCUCAGAUGUGAGGAGCAGGAAGAUCCUUUGAAAAGAGAGGAGCCAGGCCACUGCGACCUUUCUUCUGUCAAUGCAAUUGAGUUCCUGCCUUUUUUAUUUUUAAUGUAUCUUCCAACCACUUCUUUUUUAAAUUUGCACUUCCUCUAGUAAUGAUGUAUCCCACUGGGGGGAAGAAAGGGAAAACUUACUGUUUACCUUGGAAU